rnacentral:rRNA from 1 species
GAUGAACGCUAGCGGCAGGCCUAAUGCAUGCAAGUCGAACGAUACCAUCUGGCUUGCCAGAUGGGAAAGUGGCACACGGGUGCGUAACGCGUAUGCAACCUACCUUAAUCAGGGGGAUAGCCCGAAGAAAUUCGGAUUAACACCGCAUAAAAACACAGUACAGCAUUGUACAAUGUUCAAAUAUUUAUAGGAUUAAGAUG